UGGCAAACUAUGAUGCUGUACCAGAAAA
rnacentral:piRNA from 1 species